AUGAUUCCGGUACAAAGAACCACGUAUCCAAAGAAGCCACCAGCAGGUUACUGCAAAAUACAUGUCGACGCUGGUGUUCGGGGGAGAACAGGAGGUUCUGUCGUGGCAAUAUGUAGGGACGAAGGGGGAAACUUUCUCGGUAGCUCGGCGCUGGUGAUCGAAGGAGUCACUGAUCCGGCUACCUUGGAAGCAGUGGCAUGUCGGGAGGCACUAGCCCUCGCCGAAGAUUUGGGUAUCCACCAGUUUGUAGUGGCUUCUGACUGCCAAGAGGUGGUUUCUGACAUUAGAAGGAGAGCCCGGGGACAAUAUAGAGCAAUCAUUAGCGAGAUAAAUCUGAAAGCUUCCUUCUUUUACUUUUGA
rnacentral:rRNA from 1 species